rnacentral:rRNA from 1 species
AUUGAACGCUGGCGGCAUGCUUUACACAUGCAAGUCGAACGGUAACAGGCAGCAAGGUGCUGACGAGUGGCGAACGGGCGAGUAAUGCAUCGGAACGUGCCCAGUCGUGGGGGAUAACGCAGCGACAGCUGUGCUAAUACCGCAUACGAGCUGUGGAUGAAAGCGGGGGCCCGAAAGGCCUCGGGCGAUUGGAGGGGCCGAUGGCAGAUUAGGUAGUUGGUGGGGUAAAGGCUCACCAAGCCAACGAUCGUGUGGUUGUACUGAGAGUACGACCAGCCACACUGGGACUGAGACACGGCCCAGACUCCUACGGGAGGCAGCAGUGGGGAAUUUUGGACAAUGGGCGCAAGCCUGAUCCAGCAAUGCCGCGUGCAGGAAGAAGGCCUUCGGGUUGUAAACUGCUUUUGUACGGAGCGAAAAGGCUCUCUCUAAUACAGGGGGCUCAUAACGGUACCGUAAGAAUAAGCACCGGCUAACUACGUGCCAGCAGCCGCCGUAACAC